CACUAUGCUUAGCCCUAAACCCAGAUGCGCAAGUACAACCGCAUCCGCCCGGAUACUACGAGCACAGCUUAAAACCCAAAGGACUUGGCGGUGUCUCAGACCCACCUAGAGGAGCCUGUUCUAUAACCGAUAACCCUCGUUAAACCUCACCACUUCUAGUAAAUAUCCGCCUAUAUACCGCCGUCGUCAGCUUACCCUGUGAAGGCUUAACAGUAAGCAAAAUGGGUAUACCCAAAAACGUCAGGUCGAGGUGUAGCACACGAAGUGGAAAGAAAUGGGCUACAUUUUCUAACUUUCCCAGAAAACUACGAACAGCACUCUGAAAUAAGUGCUUGAAGGUGGAUUUAGCAGUAAAAAGAAAAUAGAGAGUCCAUUUGAACCAGGCUCUGAGACGCGCACACACCGCCCGUCACCCUCUCCGACACAUAACACCCACAUUCCUAAUACCUAUUAAUAACUAAGGGGAGGCAAGUCGUAA
rnacentral:rRNA from 1 species